AGCCUUAAGAUAAUUAUUUAAGGUCAGACCUGCCCAGUGUAAAUUGUUGUAUAAAUGGCCGCGGUACUUUGACCGUGCUAAGGUAGCGCAAUCAAUUGGUUUUUAAAUGGAGCCAGGUAUGAAUGGAGUUACGGGGUUUUUCUGUCUCCUAACUAUUUUAUCGAAGUUACUAUGUAAGUGAAAAAGCUUACGUAUGGAAAAAGGACGAGAAGACCCUUAGAGUUUUUUUUCAAAGCAGUUUGGUUGGGGCAACAUGGGAACAAAUUUCCAUAUAUCGAGUAUUUUAGAGUUGAAUAAACUACCUUAGGGAUAACAGCAUAAUUUUAUAGAUAAGUUUGUGACCUCGAUGUUGGACUGGGAAACUUAAAGGUUAGCCGCCUUUAAGGUAAGUUCUGUUCGAACUAUUAUUCCC
rnacentral:rRNA from 1 species